rnacentral:lncRNA from 1 species
GGGAAAGCAUAUUUUUUUUCUUUUACAAAGCCAGAACCUGGAACAAAUUGUCCAAGGGAAUAAGUGUUUGGUGGGAUGAAUAGUGUUUGGAGUGAAGACAAACGGCAAAAGAGAGGCGAGACCAUGAAAGCUGUUCUUCUGCUCCACGUGAAUGUUACCACUUGUUCACUGUUCCACGAUGAACUCCGUCAGAACAGCGAGUUACUGGGAAAAGUCCUCCGUGCUGAGAAAGACGCACAUGUCACUGCUGAGUCAGAAGCUGGCAACGGUCAUAUCACCUAGAGGGAGAAAUACGUGUGAACUGCACUGAGGAUUAAAAGCCCCAAGAACAUAAGAAAUAAUAUCAGUACUCAAGUGAUUUGUAUCAGUGAAGAUCAGACAGUAAGUAAGUUUUUUCUACCAUUUUUCUAGCCCUUCUGGGCUUCCAUUUGGG